rnacentral:lncRNA from 1 species
UCCCGGCGGAGCCGGAGAUUAAACCGGACCCGAGCCCGCCCCCAACGCGGAGACUCCCAAUCUCCUCUCCGCCGGGGCACGGGAGGAGCGCUGGGGAGCGGGUGGAGCGACCGCCCUGCAUCGACCGACCCCCGCCCCGCCCCGGCCGGCCCCGCCCCCCCCCCCCCCCCCCCCCCCCCCCCCCCCCCCCCCCCCCCCCCCCCCCCCCCCCCCCCCCCCCCCCCCCCCCCCCCCCCCCCCCCCCCCCCCCCCCCCCGACCCCCGCCCCGCCCCGGCCGGCCCCGCCCCGCCGGGACCCCAGCUCCUCGGGCACGGCCGUCAGAGGGGCAGCGCCGCCCCGCCGGGCAUCCGUGUGUCACUGGGCAUCACCUGCCGCCAGCGAAUCGCCCCCGGCCAGGCAUCAUCCCCCGCCGGGCAUCAGUGUCCCGGCAGCGCUGCCCUACCUGGAAUAGCCUCGGGCAGCCUGGGAUGGAAACGGCUUUGCCAGCCAGCAAUGAGCGUCGCCAUCGGGAGAAGAGGCACCCUAUCGCCUGGACAUCGAGAGAUGUUAAAUAUUCAGUGGCAGCUCUGCCCUCACGCUCCCGGCAAUCCCACGGCUCCUGUUACUGCCGCUCUCCUUUGGCUGGAGACCCAUCCAUUAACUAAUUUCUAAUAACAGCAGCGUGCGUGAGCACAGGACAUGGACUCCACCAUGAAGCUUUGCAGAAAAUCAAAGCCGUGAGGAGAGAAGGAAAAGAGAGUGAAGAUGUCCCCAAAACCUCCCAAAGCCUGUCCCAGAGUCCCUCAGCUGGCACACAGUAGCUGCAGGCUCCUGCAGCCAGGCUGGCAACACAGACAUGAGCCAUGAGAGGUGUAGGCUAAGACCCUGCUCUCAGCUCCCUGAGCCCUCUGGUCAACAGUGCUUCCCCAGUGCAGCUCUGGCCAGUCUCAUCAAUGGCUCUGGUGGUGUCAGGGCUCUAGUGGAUUGCAAAAUUGCAGUCGUGUGGUUUUCUCCAGCUGGCUGGAAAGUUUGACGCCGGAUUCCCGUAUGUGAGGAGCCUUCAGGGGAGCACGGCACAGCAUGGCUCAUCUCUCCAGCAGCAUCCUGCCUCACCAAUGGCAGGGAGCUGAGUGCUGGGCCAGAGCCCUUGCCCUCAGCACACCUCUGUGGGGUUGGCCUUCUCACCAUUUCCCCCAGCCUAAAGCUGCCCUAUUUCUUAUCCUACAGCCAUGCUUCAAGAUCAAAGAUUAAAGUGAAACCUCUUGGCCUCAGAAGCGCAGACAAGGCCAUAAAACUCCUCAGCCUCCAGUGUGGCAGCACGGACAAGGCCAGCCCAGGACCCAGGCACAAAGCACUGGGUGCUAUGUAUGGCCAGGACACGCUCUCCUUGUCACGCUCGGCUUCCUGAGCCCGCUGCCUGCUGCCUGCCACUGCCCGCUGUUCCCAGAGCCCAGAUGGCAGGAAGAUAGGGCAGAGAUAAUGGUGAGAUUUGCAGCCCGAGCAGUGUUCCCCCUGCCACCACCGUGACUUCUCAAGCAAGAAGGCUGUUCCCAGAGCCCAGAUGGC